AUGCCCUGCUGAGGACACUUUCUCAACAGUUCCUUGAACCUCUCCCAAGAUUCAUAAUAAGAUUCUCCCUUAAGAUGGUAAAAAUUAUUGAUCUCCCCGAUUAAUUU